rnacentral:rRNA from 1 species
CCUACGGGAGGCAGCAGUGGGGAAUAUUGGGCAAUGGGCGCAAGCCUGACCCAGCAACGCCGCGUGAAGGAAGAAGGCUCUCGGGUUGUAAACCUCCUUUAUGAAGGACGAAAGAAAUGACGGUACCUCCUGUAUAAGCCACGGCUAACUACGUGCCAGCAUCCGCGGUAAUACGGAGGUGGCAAUCGUUAUCCGGAUUUACUGGGUGUAAAGGUCUUGUAGGCUGGACUGCAAGUCAGAUGUGAAAAUUAUGGGCUCAACCCAUAAUGUGCAUUUGACACUGUAGUUCUUGAGUGAUGGAGAGGCAGGCGGAAUGCGGGGUGUAGCGGUGAAAUGCGUAGAUAUAGGGAGGAACAC